rnacentral:rRNA from 1 species
UUCCGGUUGAUCCUGCCGGAGGUCACUGCUAUUGGGGUUCGACUAAGCCAUGCAAGUCGACUGGUCUUCGCGACCAGGGCGGACGGCUCAGUAACACGUGGGCAACCUACCCUCAGGUCAGGGAUAACCCCGGGAAACUGGGGAUAAUACCUGAUAGGUAAAGACAUCUGGAAGGAGUCUUUGCCCAAAGCUCCGGCGCCUGAGGAUGGGCCUGCGGCCGAUUAGGUUGUUGGCGGUGUAACGGACCACCAAGCCUAAGAUCGGUACGGGCACUGGGAGGUGGAGCCCGGAGAUGGGGGCUGAGAAAAGGCCCCAGGCCCUACGGGGCGCAGCAGGCGCGAAAACUCCGCAAUACGCGCAAGCGUGACGGGGGGACCCCAAGUGUCAUGCCUUCGGGUAUGACUUUUGCAGAGUGUAAAAAGCUCUGCGAAUAAAAGCUGGGUAAGACCGGUGCCAGCCGCCGCGGUAACACCGGCAGCUUGAGUGGUGACCACUAUUAUUGGGCCUAAAGCGUCCGUAGCCGGUUCUGUAAGUCCUUGGGUAAAUCCACCCGGUUAACGGUUGGCCUCCCAGGGAUACUGCAGAACUUGGGAACGAGAGAGGUCGGAGGUACUCCGGGGGUAGCGGUGAAAUGCUGUAAUCCCCGGGGGACCACCAGUGGCGAAGGCGUCCGACCAGAGCGUGUCCGACGGUGAGGGACGAAAGCCAGGGGAGCGAACGGGAUUAGAUACCCCGGUAGUCCUGGCCGUAAACGCUGCCCGCUAGGUGUUGCACGCUCUACGGGGGCGUGCAGUGCCGAAGCGAAGGUGAUAAGCGGGCCGCCUGGGAAGUACUACCGCAAGGUAGAAACUUAAAGGAAUUGGCGGGGGAGCACCACAAGGGGUGAAGUCUGCGGUUUAAUUGGAGUCAACGCCGGG